rnacentral:rRNA from 1 species
UACAGAGGGCCCGAGCGUUAAUCGGAAUCACUGGGCUUAAAGCGUGCGUAGGCGGACCCGCAAGUACUUUGUGAAAUCCCACGGCUCAACCGUGGAAUUGCUUGGUAGACUGCGGGUCUUGAGGUCGGUAGGGGCUGUCGGAACUCUAGGUGGAGCGGUGAAAUGCGUAGAUAUCUAGAGGAACGCCCAAGGCGAAGGCAGGCAGCUGGGCCGAAUCUGACGCUGAGGCACGAAAGCGUGGGUAGCGAACGGG